rnacentral:rRNA from 1 species
GUUGAACGCUGGCGGCAGGCCUAACACAUGCAAGUCGAGCGAGCGGCGGACGUUUGCGGAAUGUAUGGGGACUGUCCGAUAGCGGGGGAUAAAGACUGGAAACGGUACCUAAUACCGCAUACCAUCGGAUACGCCAUAUGGGCUUAGCUAGUAGGUGAGGUAAUGGCUCAGCUAGGCGAGUAUCCCUAGAUGUUCGGAGAGGUUGCUCAGCCACACUGGUACUGAGACACGGCCCAGACUCUGACGGUGGCAGCAGUGGGGAAUAUUGCACAAUGGGGGCAAGCCUUAUGCAGCCAUGCCGCGUGUAUGAAGAAGUCACUAGGGUUGUAAAGUACUUUCAGUCGUGAAACGGUACCGGCAGAAUAAGCACCGGCUAACUCCGUGCCAGCAGCCGCGGUAAUUC